AAUGAACGUUGGCGGCAUGGAUUAGGCAUGCAAGUCGAGCGAGAAGUGUAGCAAUACACGGAAAGCGGCGGAAGGGAGAGUAAUACGUGGGAAUCUGCCCUUAGACCUGGGAUAGCAGCGGGAAACUGCUGGUAAUACCAGAUAAUGUCUAUGGACCAAAGGUGUGAUUCCGUCUAGGGAUGAGCCCACGUCAUAUUAGCUAGUUGGUAGGGUAAUGGCCUACCAAGGCGAGGAUGGGUAGCGGGUGUGAGAGCAUGACCCGCCUCACUGGGACUGAGACACUGCCCAGACACCUACGGGUGGCUGCAGGCGAGCAUCUUCGGCAAUGGGCGCAAGCCUGACCGAGCGAUGCCGCGUGCGGGAUGAAGGCCUUCGGGUUGUAAACCGCUGUCGAGGGGGAGCAACUUCCAUAGAGUUAUCUUUAUGGAUUGAGUGAUCCCUGGAGGAAGGACGGGCUAAGUUCGUGCCAGCCGCCGCGGUAACAC
rnacentral:rRNA from 1 species